GACGAACGCUGGCGGCGUGCUUAACACAUGCAAGUCGAGCGGAGCGGCGAACGGGUGAGUAACGAGUGAGUAACUGGCCCCCUCUCGGGGAUAACAGUUGGAAACGGCUGCUAAUACCGGAUAGUGGGGGAUGACUCGCGGCCUAUCAGCUUGUUGGUGUGGUAGUGGCCUACCAAGGCGACGACGGGUAGCCGGCCUGGGAGGGCGACCGGCCCCCAUGGGCUGAGGUACGGCCCAAACUGCUACGGGGGGCAGCAGUGGGGAAUAUUGCACAAUGGGGGAAACCCUGAUGGAGCAACGCGCGUGCGGGAUGGCGGCCUUCGGGUUGUAAACCGCUUUCAGCCAUAACGCGGUAGUGGCAGAAGAAGCACCGGCUAACUACGUGCCAGCAGCCGCGGUAAUAC
rnacentral:rRNA from 1 species